CAGCAGCCGCGGGAAUACGUAGGUGGCAAGCGUUGUCCGGAAUUAUUGGGCGUAAAGGGCUCGCAGGCGGUUUCUUAAGUUCGAUGUGAAAGCCCCCGGCUCAACCGGGGAGGGUCAUUGGAAACUGGGAAACUUGAGUGCAGAAGAGGAGAGUGGAAUUCCACGUGUAGCGGUGAAAUGCGUGGAGAUGUGGAGGAACACCAGUGGCGAAGGCGACUCUCUGGUCUGUAACUGACGCUGAGGAGCGAAAGCGUGGGGAGCGAACAGGAUUAGAUACCCGUGUAGUCCCUGUCUCUUAUAC
rnacentral:rRNA from 1 species